rnacentral:rRNA from 1 species
UACGGAGGGUGCAAGCGUUAAUCGGAAUCACUGGGCGUAAAGCGCACGUAGGCUGUUAUGUAAGUCAGGGGUGAAAUCCCACGGCUCAACCGUGGAACUGCCCUUGAUACUGCAUGACUUGAAUCCGGGAGAGGGUGGCGGAAUUCCAGGUGUAGGAGUGAAAUCCGUAGAUAUCUGGAGGAACAUCAGUGGCGAAGGCGGCCACCUGGACCGGUAUUGACGCUGAGGUGCGAAAGCGUGGGGAGCAAACAGG